rnacentral:rRNA from 1 species
UUUUUGUUGGGUGAAUCAGUAUAAGAGUUUUUCCUUCUUUAAAAUUAAUAGGAAUUAAAAACUCUGAUUUAAAACCAGGAUUAGAUACCCUGUUAUUCUGAGUUAUAUUUAGACAGGGUAGUAAAAGUUGUUCUUCAAACCCAAAGAUUUUGGCGGCACUUUAUCCAAAUAGAGGAGCUUGCCCCUUAAUCGAUAGUCCCCGUUUUAUCUUUCCUCUGUUUGUAGAGCUUGUAUACCGCCGUUGUCAGAUUACUUCUAGAGAAUGUUUUCAAAUUAAAAGAUUUUUUUACUUCAGGUCAAGGUGCAGUUUAUAUAGAGGUGAAGGUGAGCUACAAUUUUCUUUACAAAUAUGGAUACUAAGCCUCGAAGCUGGUUAGAAGGUGGAUUUAUUAGUAAAGUAAUUUAAGUAAAAUUAUUUGAAUAAGGCNNUAAGUGUGUNCAUAUCGCCCGUCACUCUCUCCUUAAGGAGAGAUAAGUCGUAA